CCCCACAAUUAUUUUGGACUCCGUCGGUCGUGCGAGUGUUUCGCGCUUUGAAAAAUUGAAACAGCAAAAACUCGCGCCGCGCCACUGAAACAUAAAAACAUGGUUUACGCGAAAACACACAAAUUAUGGAUAUUUUCUCGACCACACUCCGCUGAAAACAACAAGUGAACGUCUAUAAAAAUUGUGUAAACAGCUGUAUUGAACUCAUUAAAAUAUAUUGUUUAUAUUCUUUUGGGAUGCUAUUUGCAGAGAGAGGCUGAAAAAUACACCCCGGUCCGGUCCCAGCGGCCCCUUCUCCCACCCUAAAUAAGGGCCUGGAAUGUAGUGUUUAUGUGUAUUGGUGCGGUCCAGUUUUGUGUAUAUCAAAGUCCUUUGCGUGUUUACCGAUUGUGCAGGAAAAUUAAGAAAAGCCAGUGGAAAAGUUCUGGCUGCUGGAGAAAAGUGUGCGGAAAAAAGCAAAAAGGACAACGAAUUAGUCAUUAGAUCAGAGGCAGCGCUCCCCUGCUCACUACGGCGCAUCCUGUCCGUUUGUGUAUGUGUACGUGUGUGUAUGUGUAGUGGUGUCUAUUUUCGUAGUUCCGCCGGUUUUGGCACAACAACAAAACAGCAGCAAAAGCAGCAGCACCACCAACAACAACAACUUGUUUGUUCCAUGCUUCAACGCUUCCCGAACCCUUUGCCGCUGGAGUAGGAGGAGGGUGAAGAGGAAUUCGAGAGAAUGGAGCGUAAAUUUACGCGCGGCUUGAAUAAGCUAACUUCGGCGGGCCAGAUGAGAGAGAAUGUCUCUCAGCUGGUGCGUGAGAGUGCCGUUUUGAAGAACAGCACUGGGAGCUUUCAGCGUAGUCUCUCUAUUGCGAGCAAACCUCUUGUGGUGGAGCCCAUAGAUUUUGAGGCGUUUGUGGCCAAAAAUAAAACAGUAAUCCAAAAUGAUCCGCAAAGGGAGUUGCUCAUCUAUCCAGCAGAUGAUGUCUCGGAGAUCAUUAUGCCACGGAAGCAGCGCACGACAGCCAAAUCGGUGGCUGAUCGCUUUGAGCCACCCAACGAGGCGAUUGUGUGUCCAUUGCAUGGCGCUUUAAUGGGGAAUGGGAAUGGUCACAGUCAGGUGAGCCGCCAGGGCAGCACUCAAUCGAAUGGCAGUCUCCACAAUGGGAAUGGAAAUGGACACAGCAGCUGCAGCAGUCUGAGCAGCGCCAAUGGGCACGGCGCCCAGCUGUCACGCAAGAGUUCACAGUGCUCGUCGAAUGGCUCCACAAGUCAGAAAGUGUCACAGGAGUCAUCCUAUGAGUCGGCCCUGUCCUCCAUCACACUGCGUUCGCAUCUCGCCCAGCCCGAAGAGGCGGAUGAGUUCGAGUUGGCGGAUGAGCCGUCACAUGGAGACGAGCAGGGCACUCAGCAGGGAUCACGUGCCGAGUGCACGAGGUUCACACGGCAGGCGCUUUACACCUACAGAGCCAAGAACCAUUUGAUCCAUUAUAAAUAUAAUGCCUACGGUGGAAACUGUCAUGAUUUGCCCAGCAUCUCUCCGGCGGAGGAGCUUCUCGAAGAAGUGUACGAAAUCGAUGCUGAUCAGGAUCGCAUUGAUGAGCAAAUGACACGCUCUCAGGCGGAUACGAUCACCAAGCAGGGAUAUCUGCUGAAAGGACCCGAUUCGGCUGCCGAUCGAAUGUUUGCCAAUAUAGGAAACAAAUCGUUUAAGCGUCGCUAUUGCUAUCUGCGGCAGGAGAUCGAUGGCACCUAUAUGCUGGAGCUGCACAAGGAUGAGAAGCAGGGCGACGCCAAGGCCACCAUUGUCAUGGAUUUCUGCACAGAAGUUGUCCAAAAUCCGAAGCGUGGACGCUUUUGCUUUGAACUACGCAUGACAACGGGCCAUAAGUCGUUCACCCUGGCCGCCGAGAACGAGCAGGACUUUAAGGAUUGGCUGGGGAAACUCUCAUCAGUGCUGGCCCAGAAUCGUGCCCAGGAGGAGAAGCGCAAUGCCUCGCUCGAGCGCCAGCCAGGUCCGCAGCUGCUGCAGCCAGCGGAACAGCAGCCCACAUUUGGGACCCUAAAGGGGCUCGAUCAAUCGCUGCAUCCGCAGUUGAUGAAGUACGGCAGGGAGACAGAUCACUCGAUUGCCCUGGCCAGGAAGGAGCAGCGCCGACGCCUGUUUGCCUGCUAUCAGACCGCCUCGAAGGCCACAUCCAGUGAUAGUGUGGAGCAGUAUCGCGAGCAUUUCGGCACACGAAUGCUCCUCACGUGCCACAGUCUGCGCUUUCGACUGCAGUGUGUGGCGGCAGAUGCUGGGCCCGGGCAGGAUGCAGAGCAGCAGGUGGAGCCGUAUAUCACCAGCCUGGCGCUGUACGAUGCCAAGGCGGGGCGCAAGUUGAGCGAAAGCUUCUACUUCAAUGUGAAUGACUCGUGGAAUGCCCAACUGCUGCCGAAUACACCUGUUCCAGCCUCAGUGGCGGGCUGUGGCGUGCCCCGUCGUGCCACAGAGGGGGAUGACAGGAGUGCCUCGCAGGCCCCACACUCCCUCUUCGAUAGUGUGUCCGCGGAGCUGCUGCGCUGUCCCCGACAGCAGUUCCAGCAGCUGCGGCAGUGCCUGCUCUCGGUGCGUGCCCCCCAUGCGGACAUCUAUCUGGUGGUGCGAGUGGAGAAGGUGCUGCAAUGUGGCAUUGCGCAGGCCGCAGAGCCCUACCUGAAGGCGGGCAAGGAUCCGAAGCUCGGCCAAAAGGUGUGUAAGGCGGCCAAGAGCUGCGCCCAGCACAUCGGACACUACCGCCAGCCGUUUGCCUGGGCGGCCAAGCCUCUGUUCAAGCUCUACAGCCACGAACUGGACGUGGAGCCGCACAAGGACUUCGACUUUAGUCCCAUCUAUCGCCAGGAGCUGCCCAAGCUCAAGGACGAGGAGUUGCUCAAGCUCCUGGUGGACUAUCGCAAGCCGGAGAAGCUCAGCAAGCUGACCAUCAUCCCGGGGCACCUCAAGAUGCAGCUGCAGAUCCUAGAGCAGACAGUGCCCUGCGGUCUCAGCAAAUCCCUGGCUCCCCUCUCGACCUUCAGUCCGGCUUCCAAGCAGCCGCCGACCCUCGAGCUGGCUGAAUUCCAAAACCAAAGCGAAAGGGAGGCCCAUCCGUACACGAGCUUCUGCAAUCAUCUGUAUGUGUAUCCGUUGAGUCUGCAGUUCGAUAGCCAGAAGCUGUUCUCGCGGGCCAGGAACAUCACGGUCGUGGUGGAGCUCAGAGAUGGCGAUGGGGAGUACAGUAAGCCCUUGAAGUGCAUCUAUGGUCGACCUGGACAUGAUCUGCUAGUCUCACAAAUAGCCUGUCCCGUACUCCAUCAUAACGUCACCCCCACAUGGUACGAGGAGAUAAAAUUGCGUCUUCCUCUGGGUCUCUUUCCCGAGCACCAUUUGCUCUUCUCCUUCUACCAUGUGUCCUGUAAUCUGAGCAAGAAGCGAUCCGAUGCCCAGGCGGCCUUUGAGACGCCCAUUGGGUAUGCCUGGCUGCCGUUGCUGCAAAAGAAUCGCAUCUGUCUGGAGGAGCAGUCGCUGCCAGUGGCCGCCACAUUGCCAGUGGGAUAUCUGUCCAUACAGCCACUGGGCUGGGGCAAGGGGCAGAACUGCGGCCCCGACAUCCAAUGGAUCGACAAUCAGCGUCCCUUGUACACGGUGACCCUGCGACUGGACUCCACAGUGCUGACGGCGGAUCAGCAUCUGCACAACUUCUUUGCGCACUGCGAGCGUCUGCUGGAGGGUGGCAAGACGGGGGCACUGCCAGCGGAAACGGAGACCUGCAAGAUUCUCAAGGCAGCGCACGCCAUCGACAUGUGUUCGCUGAUCAGUUACCUGCCGACGCUCCUGAACGAACUGUUUACGCUGCUAGUGCAUACGCAGUCCGAGGAAAUUGGCCUGAAUGUGAUACGUCUGCUGACCAACAUCAUCCAUCUGAUAAGCUUCGACGCGAAGCGUCCCGAUCUGCUGGCCUCGUAUGUGAAGUACGUUUUCCACGCCCCGUACUACAGCCAGCAGACGGCCCGCCUGAGGACAGUGCAUGGGGAGCUGUGCAGGCAUUUGCCCUAUCUGCUGAAUCCCAAGAAUACGGACUUCCUGAUCGUCAACAAAUUCAUGCGCUAUUCGGCCAUCUUCUUCGAUUUGAUUGUGAAGAGCAUGGCCCAGCACCUGCUGGCGACCGGGAGGAUUCGAAUGCUGCGCAACGAACGCUUUCCCAAGGAGUAUGCAGAUCGGGUGGAGCAGCUGAUCAAGGUGUUGAUCAUCUACAUCACGACGCGCUACGAUGAUUUGGGAGAGGAGACACAGCUGCUCAACCGUUCGUUGGCUCGCUUUGUGCGGCAGUGUCUCAGCUACAUGGAUCGGGGAUUUGUCUAUCGUUUGAUACGAUGCUACAUGCAGGAGUUUACACCCGGCAAUCCGCGGGUGCUGCAUGAAUACAAGUUCAACUUCCUGCAGGAGAUUUGCCAGCACGAACACUAUGUGCCGCUCAACCUGCCCUUUGUGCUGAAUCCAAAGAAUCGUCCGCCCGAGAUGAUGCAACACUUUACGCUCUCCGAGGAGUUCUGUCGUCAGCAUUUUCUCUCGGGUCUGCUGCUGCAGGAGCUGAAGAGCAGCCUCAACGAGGUGGGCCAUGUGCGGCGGCAUGCCCUGGCCAUCUUCAAGGACCUGCUGGCCAAGCACGAGCUGGACGGACGCUACCAGCAGCGCGGACAGCUCUCGCGCAUCGCUCUGCUGUACGUGCCAUGGCUGGGCAUUGUCAUGGACAAUCUGCAUCGCAUAGAUGACUUGUCCGAGGCGGCGGGAGCUACCACUCCCAACGGGCACGUCUAUGUGGAUUCCGCCUCGUACACGAAACGCCUGAGCUGCUCGAGCAGCUACGUUUUCAGCAAGGAUUCCUCGACAUUUGGCUCGUUGACGUCCACGCCGCGCUCGAAGAAUCGAAUGACAUUGCACAAUGAUCAGCUCAGUCCGUGCCGGACUUCGGUCCACAUGAGGGAGAACAAUUUUCUGGCAGCCAUUGCGGGACAGCCCAUAAGCAAUGGGAUAUCCAAUCUAUCCCUUAAUUCGAACACGGAUUCGGGGCACUCGCAGGACACCACCACCAUUGGGGCAUACACCAACGGGGAGGCAGAUGUGGCCCUGCGGAAUGGUCACAACCGUUCCGUGAGCUUCACGCACGCCCAGAUCUUGUCACGCUGCGACAAGUUUAGUGUUGGGGAGAGCAAGGAUCUGCUGUUGGGAUUCCUCUUUAUUGUGAAGCACUUGUCGCAGGAUCAAAUGGUUGCCUGGUGGCAGAACUGCAACGAAACAGAGACCCUGCAGUUUCUGGCCAUACUCGAUCUUUCGCUGCAGCAGUUCCGCUAUGUGGGCAAGAAGAGUGUGCUGCUGACGGCGGACUCGCGUCAGAUGCGUGCUACGAAGGCGCACACGCUGCCCGCGAGGACUGCCCCACCCACAGGUCUGGAGAACGGCCAUCAGCAGGAGCAACAGCAGCCGAGCAGUGGCACUCUGAAUCAGCCAAGAGAACAUCUGUUGGAGGACAUGGCCAGGACACAGCUGGCUCUCUACGAAUCAAAUUUGGCCACAGAGGUGGGCAUGAUCAUCCUCGACUGCCUCGGCAUGUAUGUCCUGCAGUUCCGUCAGCUGCUAACCGACAGCCUGGUGCUGCGCAAGCUGGCGAGGGUAUAUUUGCGCUUCCUGCAGUUGGGGCAGUCGGAGAGACUCUCCAAGCAUGUGUUUGCCGCCCUGCGCGCGUUCAUCAACAACUAUUCGGUGGCCCUGUUCAAGGGCAAUGCCAUGCUGUGCGGCCAGAUGGUGUACGAGCUGUUGAAGGCCUGCGACAGUCGCCUGGUGGAGAUCCGACACGAAUCCUGUGCCGUUCUGUAUCUGCUGAUGCGCAGCAAUUUCGAGUUUAGCGGUCGCAAGGCUUUGACACGCGUUCACCUGCAAGUCAUAAUUUCGGUGUCGCAGAUGAUCGGCAAUGUGAUUGGGCUGAACAAUGCCCGAUUCCAGGAGAGUCUUUCGAUCAUCAAUAGCUACGCCAACAGCGACAAGGCCAUGAAGGGCACCGGCUUCCCCAUGGAGGUGAAGGACCUAACGCGUCGCGUGCGCACUGUCCUCAUGGCCACCGCCCAGAUGCAGGCCCAUCACAUGGACCCCGAGAGGCUGCUCGAGCUGCAGUAUUCGCUGGCCAAUUCGUAUGCCUCCACACCCGAGCUGCGGCACACCUGGCUGGUCACCAUGGCCCGGAAUCACGAGCAGAACGGCAAUCUCUCGGAGGCCGCAUGCUGUCAUCUGCAUAUCGCUGCCCUCAUGUGCGAGUAUCUCCGCCUGCGUGGCACCGCCUGCUCCAGUCUCAGUUGGUCCUCGGCGGCCUUUGGCAAGAUAUCACGCAACAUACCGCUGGAUGAGCAGGGGCUCAAGCUAGAUGCUGGCGCCCAGGACUCGCAGUACACCGAAUAUAUGCUGCUCGAACAGCUAAAGCAGUGCGCUGAUCUGCUAGAUCGUGCCGAGCGUUUCGAGUGCCUCGGCGAUCUGUACAAACUCAUUCUGCCCAUCCACGAGAGGGCCCGCGACUUCAUCGAACUGUCUAAUUGUUACGAGCACCUGGCCCAGGCCUACAGCAAGAUUGUGGAGGUCAAUCGGUCGGGCAAACGCAUGCUGGGACGCUUCUAUAGGGUUGUCUUUUACGGCAUGAUGUACUUCGAGGAGGAUCAUGCCAUUGAGUAUGUGUACAAGGAGCCCAAACUCACGUCGUUGAGUGAGAUCUCCGAGCGUCUGGCCAAGCAAUACAAGGAGAAAUUUGGAGCGGAUGUUGUUAAGCUAAUCAUGGACUCGUCACCGGUCAAAGUCGAUGAAUUGGAUGCCAAGUUGGCCUACAUACAGGUCACCCAUGUGAUCCCCUUCUUUACCAAAACAGAGCUCGAUCAGCGCCUCAAUGAAUUCGAGCAGAAUCAUGAUGUGAACACCUUUAUGUACGAGACACCGUUCACCAAGUCGGGAGCAGCACGUGGCAGCGUUGAGGAGCAGUGGAAGCGCAAGACAGUCAUAGAGACUACAUACUCGUUUCCCUAUGUGCUGAAGCGUAUUCCUGUCAAGUCCCGCGAGAUCAUCGAACUGAGUCCCAUUGAAGUGGCCAUCGAUGAGAUGCAAUCCAAGGUUUCAGAGCUGGAGGAGAUUAUCAUGCCGCCAGCCGAUGUGAAGAAGUUGCAAUUGCGCCUGCAAGGCAGCGUCGCGGUGACGGUAAAUGCCGGUCCCCUGGCCUAUGCACAUGCCUUUCUGGAUACCAAGGUCAUCAAUAACUUUUCGCUCGAUCGCGUUGGUGAUCUGAAAGAUGUUUUUCGUGACUUCAUUGGCGUCUGCCACAAGGCUUUGUGCGUGAACGAGCGCAUGAUCAGUGCCGAUCAGAAGGAGUACCAUCAUGUGCUGAAGGAGAACUACGAGAAACUGUGUCAGGCGCUUAGUGAGUUGCUCGACGACGAGUCCUUCCAGCCGCUUAGCGAAGAUGCUGAAAGCAUAAAUCAGCGCAAUAGCAUGGCUUUGUUCAACGCGAUCAGUGGCGCCUCACAUAACUCAAGUACUGCAUAAGUUACUCAAACCAAAAAACAAAACACAAAAGUACACGCACAGCUACUAAAAAAAACAGAGAUAAUAUUCGUAGAGAGCGUAGAGCGUGAAGCGGUUCGUUACCCUAGAGUGUAACCCCAGCGUAAUCGUAGCCCUAAAACUUGUUUGGUGUUCCUUUGUUUGAUGUUCUUGUUGAAAUUGAAAUUUCCUUGUGGCAGGAUUGUAUUUUGUCGAGCAAGAUACCACCACCCACCACUACCACCACCACCACCACCAACACCAUCCCCACAUACACACACAGAACUCUAGA
rnacentral:misc_RNA from 1 species